CCGAAGCAAGGAUCUAGCUUAUUAAUACUUUCCAGAAAAAACCAAAAAUCAUUCCCAUACAUAUGAUUUUUUAUUUACCUAGACAAAUAAUAGUUUGAUGUUAUCUAAAUUAUUCCAAAAAUGCUCCUGUAUAGUAGUGUUUUACAAGAUUUAGAAAACUAAGCUAUAAAUUAGAGUAACCUAACGAAGGACUGUGUUCUUGUAGUAUGUCAUUGUUGGUGCAGGUGGAGUUCCAAUUUCAAGGCAGCGUUGAUGUGAGGGGAGAAGAUGCUUCUUCCUACACAAAAGGCAAAUCAUUGAUCAGAUCACCUAGCUCCUGCUCACAUGUCAUUACAUGCAGCUCUAAGUUCAGGAUUUGAUGACGACUGGUGCCCUCUAAACUCUAGACAAAGGUUAAUUCAAGCAAUUGUGCUUUAGCUGGUUUGGGAAAAUUAUUCUUUUGAGGGGCCUGAGGCACUAUAAUGCAAGUAUUUGACUUUCUCCAAACUAGGCUCUGUCGAUCCUCACUCAGCCAACGCCAGCAGAACCAAAACUGGAGAGUUGCGACUGUCAAUGGCAGCAGCCUUCUAACAACAGAUGGAUCGACCUUCUUUGUUUCCCAAGGGGGGCUACAGGAACCAGUGAGGCUUGAGAAUCUAAGCCUAAGCUGGGUUCCACAGACACGAGCCCAUAAGCAACCAUGAGUUCAACUUGAAAAAUUUUAUCAGCCCAAAAAAGGGAACCUCGUCUGUAAGUCCCUAUAAGAAAUUUCAGCAUCAGAUCGGUCUCAGGUACCUUCAUGAUAAUUCAACGAUGAAAUUUUGAAUAGAGCACGAUAUUUUUGUUGAAAAAAUAUGUUGAUUUUUCUUGGUCUAAUGAUUCACGUAACAUAAUAAGUUUUCUUAUUUUA